AUGUGGUGUUUUCCAUCAGUUUUAGAAGAAGUGAAAACCCUGGAAUUACCAAUUUUGAGUUUCAGCAAACAAUAAGGAAUGUGAUUUAUGAAACAGUCAUUUCAUAAGAAACAUAAUAAAAAAUCUGAGAAAGGCGAAGGAGAGGGUUCCUCUGAUCAAACACAAGACAGAGGUCAAAGAGUUAACGAAGGCCUACACAGAGCAUCGCUCCACACAGGGGGUAGGAGUUCACCCAGGGAGUCUCCGCCCCACACAGAGGGUAGGAGUUUACCCAGGGAGUCUCCGCCCCACACAGAGGAUAGGAGUUUACCCAGGAAGUCUCCGCCCCACACAGAGGAUAACAGUUUACUCAGGAAGUCUCCGCCCCACACAGGUGAUAACAGUUUACCCAGGAAGUCUCCGCCCGACACAAAAGGUAAGAGUUUACUCAGGAACUCCCGGCCUCACACGGAGGGAAGGAAGUUCCCGAGGAAGUCUCCGCCAACAGAGGCUGCGGCUUCACACGAGGAUUUUCUACACUCAGAGAUCGGCGGUGAUUUUCCACUUCCCCAACAGCAUACGGAAGAUGGAGAUUUGUCCGGGGCGUCUUUGAUAGCCCCGGAAAGAGGGACUUUGUACAGGGAGCUUGCUCAUUCGGAAGCUCCGGAAGAAGAGGGUCUGUACAGGGAGUUUGCUCAGUCGGAAGCUCCGGAAGGUUUGUACAGGGAAUUUACUCAGUCGGAAGCUCUGUACAGGGAGUUCGCUCAGCUAGAGGACCGAGAUCUCUCUAUAGCGGCUAUACAGAGCGACCUCCAGCAGUCACUGCUCCCCCUGGUGAAACAGGAGCUCUGGUACAAGAUCCGCUAUAAACGACUGUCGGAGGGGAAAGAGGAGUUUGUUCCUGACGACCCCAAACCCCCGCAACAGUACGAGGUAAAUUACUGUCCUUUCUAAAAUAUUCAUGUGGUAUAUUUUAAUUGUUAAAUUGGAUAUAUCAUAAAGGACAUUAUGUGUAUGAGUAUAUAUAUCAAGGAUGCCGAGGCUUUGUAUGAACCUUGCCCACAUAAAGUAGACUAAGUCGGAUCAUUAUUAAUUAACAGCAAAUAUGUACAUUCAUCGAGAAGUUUAAACAUACGAGAUUUUUGCAUGUAACCGCGAAAUGUUCAAAUGAAUUAAGAUAUGCACACAAUAUUUUCAAAUCCUUUUAAACUGUCAUUUUUUUUUUGUUUAUUAUAAAAACUCCAAACGAGACGUUAAUAAAUGAAGUGGUGAUGUCACAUAUAUGUAUACGUUUUGAACAUUUAUACCCCUUUUCGGUGAUAUUUGAUAAAAAUCAAUUCGAUUCGUGUCUGAGAGAGUAACAAACUACAACUCUGCAUAUAUGAGUGAAAGUUACGUCUUUAUUCGUGAAAUAUUGCGUUUAAUUUCUAUUUUAUUUUUAUUUUUUAGCUAUUCGAAAACGAGCUAAAUAAGCACAUGUAUGAAAUGACUGGAAGACGUCGGUUAUAGACAAUUCCACAUUUAUUUGUUAUUACGUUUUAUAGUUUUGUACCUAGUAGCAGCGCUCUCUCUCUCUCUCUCUCUCUCUCUCUCUCUCUCUCUCUCUCUCUCUCUCUCUCUCUCUCCAUAGUGAUAUUCAACGUUUGAUAAAAAUGUUGAUCAAAUAAUUUUACAUUUUGAGCUCACUGAAGACGAGCGGUAUAAAAUCGAACAACGGAGAUUACAAAACAGACAAUCUGCCCAGCGUUCAAGGAAAAGGUCCGAGAACAACGAGCAAAACCUUCUGCAGAAAAUAAGUCGUCUCGAAAAGGAUAAUUCGAAAUUAUUGGAAGAGAAAGAAAAAUUACAGAAAACGAAAGAAUUGAUUCUUCUUAAGUUCAAUAACAUUGGCUGUUAUCCCUCUAUUAGAAUAUGCUCGUGUGGGAUUCGUUUAAAAUCUGGACAAGAUGUGUCAGCGACAGAGACCCGGGGGUCGGGAGAAAGAGACAACGGUGUAACGCAACAAAAGUGACCUUAACAUUCAGUGCAAACAAUCAAAGAGAAACACGCAAUAAUUGGAUACAGUGUUAUAUACAUUUACUAUCGAUUAGCAUCUUGGUGUAAAAAUUGUGAUUUGAACUUUCAAUUUCGGGAAAGUUUUUAAAAGUUUGCUUAUAAACUGCCCAUUGAAACGCUUGUCUGCGAACGAUCAGGAAUAUUAAUAUUCUGUUUAAAAGAUUAUACGAUUGAUUAUUUUUUUUUAGUAACUAUGACUUAUAUUUAUUUGUAAUUAGGCAUGAGAAUCCAAUAUAAAUGUUUGUGAAUGUCGAUAAAUGUAUAUGUACUCUC
rnacentral:misc_RNA from 1 species